rnacentral:rRNA from 1 species
GAUGAACGCUAGCUACAGGCUUAACACAUGCAAGUCGAGGGGCAGCAUGAUUGAAGCUUGCUUCAAUCGAUGGCGACCGGCGCACGGGUGAGUAACACGUAUCCAACCUGCCGAUAACUCGGGGACAGCCUUUCGAAAGAAAGAUUAAUACCCGAUAGUAUAGUAUUUCCGCAUGGUUUCACUAUUAAAGAACUUCGGUUAUCGAUGGGGAUGCGUUCCAUUAGAUAGUUGGCGGGGUAACGGCCCACCAAGUCAACGAUGGAUAGGGGUUCUGAGAGGAAGGUCCCCCACAUUGGAACUGAGACACGGUCCAAACUCCUACGGGAGGCAGCAGUGAGGAAUAUUGGUCAAUGGACGAGAGUCUGAACCAGCCAAGUAGCGUGAAGGAUGACUGCCCUAUGGGUUGUAAACUUCUUUUAUACGGGAAUAAAGUGGAGUAUGCAUACUCCUUUGUAUGUACCGGAUGAAUAAGGAUCGGCUAACUCCGUG